rfam:Nadsonia fulvescens var. elongata DSM 6958 unplaced genomic scaffold NADFTscaffold_5, whole genome shotgun sequence.
GGUUUUAUAGUGUAGUUGGUUAUCACCACGGAUUUUGAUUCCGUUAACCCCGGUUCGAAUCCGGGUAAGACCU